rnacentral:rRNA from 1 species
UCCUACGGGAGGCAGCAGUAGGGAAUCUUCGGCAAUGGGGGCAACCCUGACCGAGCAACGCCGCGUGAGUGAAGAAGGUUUUCGGAUCGUAAAGCUCUGUUGUAAGAGAAGAACGUGUGUGAGAGUGGAAAGUUCACACAGUGACGGUAACUUACCAGAAAGGGACGGCUAACUACGUGCCAGCAGCCGCGGUAAUACGUAGGUCCC